rnacentral:lncRNA from 1 species
GGCUGAGGUGGGCCGCGGCCCUCCCCCAAAAAUAGGAAAUUACUAACAUACCCUUGGUAUUUUGAUAAAAUUACAUAUUUCCAAUACUAUAUAUAUGUAUGAAGGUAAUUAGAAAAAACAAAUGCAGUGAUAGCCUAGUUGGUAGAUGCUUCAACGCCUAUUGUGUAGUAGGCGAAGGUCAUGGGUUCUAAUCAUGCCUUUGUGGUUUUUGCUUUCUGUUUCUUUUCCC